rnacentral:misc_RNA from 1 species
GAAAUGCGAUAAGUAAUGUGAAUUGCAGAAUUCAGUGAAUCAUCGAAUCUUUGAACGCACAUUGCGCCCGCCAGUAUUCUGGCGGGCAUGCCUGUCCGAGCGUCAUUUCAACCAUCAAGGCCCCGGGCUUGUGUUGGGGACCUGCGGCUGCCCGCAGGCCCUGAAAACCAGUGGCGGGCUCGCUGUCACACCGAGCGUAGUAGCAAUCACCUCGCUCAGGGCGUGCUGCGGGUUCCGGCCGUUAAACAGCCUUACAAAACCCAAGGUUGACCUCGGAUCAGGUAGGAAGACCCGCUGAACUUAAGC